rnacentral:rRNA from 1 species
GAUGAACGCUAGCGGCAGGCCUAACACAUGCAAGUCGAGGGGCAGCACGUCUUCGGAUGGUGGCGACCGGCGCACGGGUGCGUAACGCGUAUGCAACCUACCUCUUACAGUGGGAUAGCCCAGAGAAAUUUGGAUUAAUACCGCAUAGUAUACAGAUUCAGCAUUGGGACUGUAUUAAACAUUUAUGGGUAAGAGAUGGGCAUGCGUUCUAUUAGUUAGUUGGAGUGGUAACGGCACCCCAAGACAGCGAUAGAUAGGGCCCUGAGAGGGGGAUCCCCCACACUGGUACUGAGACACGGACCAGACUCCCUACGGGAGGCAGCAGUGAGGAAUAUUGGACAAUGGGCGAGAGCCUGAUCCAGCCAUGCCGCGUGAGGGAA